UUUGACACUUUACCCACCCUUGGUUCGUUCCGUCUAUAAUCCGUAACCCACCUCUGAAUAUUCUGUUACUCUAACACGUUUUGUCCAAAAAUUUAACAAGAAAUCAGAUCAAACACUCCUCUCCCACACUCUCUCUCUCACGCUUGCUCAUCCAUUCUUAACCGAGAAUCGACUGGGUUUUGUUUGUGCAAGAACACAGAGGAAGGAGACCCACGGAUUUUGGAAGAAGGAGACCCAUAGAUUCGUGUUUGGGAACAUUUUGGUCUUGAAUCCGUUCGGAUUUCUCUUUACUUGUGACCGUUGAACCAAAAAUUCGGCCAUUAAAUUAGCUAUGACUCUGAGAGUUUCGUAGAUUGGCCAAGUUAUCUAGCUUUAUUAAAAUUAGCAGGUGGGAAUGGGAUUGCCCUGUUGCCAGGUUUGAGCGGCUAGUUACUGUCAAAGAUAAUAGUUUUGAGGUUCAAAUUAAUGGGAAUGAAAUUGGGUUUCUGCAAAGUGGUGUUUUGUAUUGCCGAGUUUUGCUGUCAAAGCAGCAAAGAGUUUAUUCCAAUGCAGCAGAAUUUUUUUGGCAUUACUGAGUUUUCAAAGCAGCAGAUUUUUCAUUCUGGCAGCUUCAAUCUUGCAGUUUUCUGUACUACUGAGUUUUGCUGUCAAAGCAACAGAUUUUUUUUCAAUGCAGCAGAUUUUAUUUGUAGUACUGAAUUUUCAAAGCAGCAAGCAGAUUUUUAGAAGCAGCAAGCAGCGGGCAGAACUUGCAGGGAGGAUUUAAUGCUUUUUUAACCAAGGGUCUAGCAUAAUGGAAAUAUUUUCUUGCAAGUUGCAAUUAUCAAGAGACUGGUCUAGAAAGUUAAUUUGUGGUGGCUUUGUUGCUUGGGAAAAAAUGCCUUAUUGAUUGAGCAUUUGAUUGGAAAAAUGCCUUAUUGCUUGUGUAGCUAAUGCUGUUACUUUUCAGUGCUAGCUGUUAUUCACUUUACAUGCCCUGUAUAAAAUGCUAUAUGCUGAGCUACAUGAAGACCAGGCGAAGGGCUGAAUGUACUCAUUGUCAUGUGAUGUUGAAGGGGGUCUCCCUUGGUGCAAGGGGUCUGUAUAUCAUUCCCAAUGGGUUUGAAAUUUCCAGUUAUGAUGAGAGGCUUGAUGGUCUUCCAGUUUAGAAAUUUUUGAGCUUUGCGAUGCUGUUGCGAAAAGAACUAGUACUUCUGAAGAUUAUGUUUCACUCAGAAUUUUGUUUAUCUGAGCUUGUUGAUGUAAUGGGAACUUAUGUUUGUAAAGUUGGAAUUUCAUUGCUAAAUGUUGUCAUGCUAGUGCUAGAUGGUUUGAAAUAAAGAAUUUGUUUUGCAUCAUUGAUCUCUA